rnacentral:rRNA from 1 species
GUUAACGAGGCGAACCGGGGGAACUGAAACAUCUAAGUACCCCGAGGAAAAGAAAUCAACCGAGAUUCCCCCAGUAGCGGCGAGCGAACGGGGAGCAGCCCAGAGUCUGAAUCAGCUUGUGUGUUAGUGGAACGGUCUGGAAAGUCCGACGGUACAGGGUGAUAGUCCCGUACACCAAAAUGCACAGGCUGUGAACUCGAAGAGUAGGGCGGGACACGUGGUAUCCUGUCUGAAUAUGGGGGGACCAUCCUCCAAGGCUAAAUACUCCUGACUGACCGAUAGUGAACCAGUACCGUGAGGGAAAGGCGAAAAGAACCCCGGCGAGGGGAGUGAAAAAGAACCUGAAACCGUGUACGUACAAGCAGUGGGAGCACCUUCGGGUGUGACUGCGUACCUUUUGUAUAAUGGGUCAGCGACUUAUAUUCUGUAGCAAGGUUAACCGUAUAGGGGAGCCGCAGGGAAACCGAGUCUUAACUGGGCGUUAAGUUGCAGGGUAUAGACCCGAAACCCGGUGAUCUAGCCAUGGGCAGGUUGAAGGUUGGGUAACACUAACUGGAGGACCGAACCGACUAAUGUUGAAAAAUUAGCGGAUGACUUGUGGCUGGGGGUGAAAGGCCAAUCAAACCGGGAGAUAGCUGGUUCUCCCCGAAAGCUAUUUAGGUAGCGCCUCGUGAACUCAUCUUCGGGGGUAGAGCACUGUUUCGGCUAGGGGGUCAUCCCGACUUACCAACCCGAUGCAAACUACGAAUACCGAAGAAUGUUAUCACGGGAGACACACGGCGGGUGCUAACGUCCGUCGUGAAGAGGGAAACAACCCAGACCGCCAGCUAAGGUCCCAAAGUCAUGGUUAAGUGGGAAACGAUGUGGGAAGGCACAGACAGCCAGGAUGUUGGCUUAGAAGCAGCCAUCAUUUAAAGAAAGCGUAAUAGCUCACUGGUCGAGUCGGCCUGCGCGGAAGAUGUAACGGGGCUAAACCAUGCACCGAAGCUGCGGCAGCGACACGAUGUGUUGUUGGGUAGGGGAGCGUUCUGUAAGCCUGCGAAGGUGACCUGUGAGGGUUGCUGGAGGUAUCAGAAGUGCGAAUGCUGACAUAAGUAACGAUAAAGCGGGUGAAAAGCCCGCUCGCCGGAAGACCAAGGGUUCCUGUCCAACGUUAAUCGGGGCAGGGUGAGUCGACCCCUAAGGCGAGGCCGAAAGGCGUAGUCGAUGGGAAACAGGUUAAUAUUCCUGUACUUGGUGUUACUGCGAAGGGGGGACGGAGAAGGCUAUGUUAGCCGGGCGACGGUUGUCCCGGUUUAAGCAUGUAGGCUGGUUAUCCAGGCAAAUCCGGAUAAUCAAGGCUGAGGUGUGAUGACGAGGCACUACGGUGCUGAAGUAACAAAUGCCCUGCUUCCAGGAAAAGCCUCUAAGCAUCAGGUAACAUCAAAUCGUACCCCAAACCGACACAGGUGGUCAGGUAGAGAAUACCAAGGCGCUUGAGAGAACUCGGGUGAAGGAACUAGGCAAAAUGGUGCCGUAACUUCGGGAGAAGGCACGCUGGUGUGUAGGUGAAGCCCCUGCGGGUGGAGCUGAGACCAGUCGAAGAUACCAGCUGGCUGCAACUGUUUAUUAAAAACACAGCACUGUGCAAACACGAAAGUGGACGUAUACGGUGUGACGCCUGCCCGGUGCCGGAAGGUUAAUUGAUGGGGUUAUCCGUAAGGAGAAGCUCUUGAUCGAAGCCCCGGUAAACGGCGGCCGUAACUAUAACGGUCCUAAGGUAGCGAAAUUCCUUGUCGGGUAAGUUCCGACCUGCACGAAUGGCGUAAUGAUGGCCAGGCUGUCUCCACCCGAGACUCAGUGAAAUUGAACUCGCUGUGAAGAUGCAGUGUACCCGCGGCAAGACGGAAAGACCCCGUGAACCUUUACUAUAGCUUGACACUGAACAUUGAGCCUUGAUGUGUAGGAUAGGUGGGAGGCUUUGAAGCGUGGACGCCAGUCUGCGUGGAGCCAACCUUGAAAUACCACCCUUUAAUGUUUGAUGUUCUAACGUUGGCCCCUUAUCGGGGUUGCGGACAGUGUCUGGUGGGUAGUUUGACUGGGGCGGUCUCCUCCCAAAGCGUAACGGAGGAGCACGAAGGUUAGCUAAUCCUGGUCGGACAUCAGGAGGUUAGUGCAAUGGCAUAAGCUAGCUUGACUGCGAGCGUGACGGCGCGAGCAGGUGCGAAAGCAGGUCAUAGUGAUCCGGUGGUUCUGAAUGGAAGGGCCAUCGCUCAACGGAUAAAAGGUACUCCGGGGAUAACAGGCUGAUACCGCCCAAGAGUUCAUAUCGACGGCGGUGUUUGGCACCUCGAUGUCGGCUCAUCACAUCCUGGGGCUGAAGUAGGUCCCAAGGGUAUGGCUGUUCGCCAUUUAAAGUGGUACGCGAGCUGGGUUUAGAACGUCGUGAGACAGUUCGGUCCCUAUCUGCCGUGGGCGCUGGAGAAUUGAGGGGGGCUGCUCCUAGUACGAGAGGACCGGAGUGGACGCAUCACUGGUGUUCGGGUUGUCAUGCCAAUGGCACUGCCCGGUAGCUAAAUGCGGAAGAGAUAAGUGCUGAAAGCAUCUAAGCACGAAACUUGCCCCGAGAUGAGUUCUCCCUGAGACUUUAAGUCUCCUGAAGGAACGUUAAAGACGAUGACGUUGAUAGGCCGGGUGUGUAAGCGCAGCGAUGCGUUGAGCUAACCGGUACUAAUGAACCGUGAGGCUUAACCUU